ACGCUCGACACCUACGGGAGGAGCAGUAGGGAAUCUUCCACAAUGGACGCAAGUCUGAUGGAGCAACGCCGCGUGAGUGAAGAAGGUUUUCGGAUCGUAAAGCUCUGUUGUUGGUGAAGAAGGAUAGAGGUAGUAACUGGCCUUUAUUUGACGGUAAUCAACCAGAAAGUCACGGCUAACUACGUGCAAGCAGCCGCGGUAAUCUGAGCGGGCUGGCAAGGC
rnacentral:rRNA from 1 species